UUUUGGGCCAAUAAUUUCACAGACGAGCCCAACUUCCUAUCUUGUGGGCUACCAGGUAUCUAUCUCCAACUUUGGAAAAAAAUAAUAAAAAACUCAAUUUAAAAAUUAAAAAAAAAAAAAAAACUUAUUUUUAGAGAACUCAAAAAAGUGUGAUCUAAAAAUAAUUCUUUUUAAUGACAAAGAAAACGUAUCCUAUUUUUUUCUAAUUUAUUUUGAAUAUGGUGAUUCUGUGUUUCCAAAAGCAACUGUAGUCUUUUCUGUUCUUUUCUUUGUUUUUUUUUUUGGGCCAAACGAAUUACAGUUUUAAAGAAAAAGUACAGUUGCUUUUGGAAACAUAGAAACAAGCUUUGAAUGACAUAAAGUCAGUCUCGGAUCUGAAAUUUUUUUAGAUAGCAAAUGGGUUAACGGGUACAAUCCAUCUAAAAACCCAAAUUUUCUCUCUCCUCGCUCACUUAUUCUCUUUACCCUAACCCUAAAGCCAAACAAGCCGGCACUGCUUCUCCCUCAAACCCACCACCAAUCCCUAGCCUCUCCGCCCCAUAAUUAUUUCUCCUCGCUCACCCCAAAUUCUCUCUCCACUCUCUUUCGCUCUCUACUCUCUUUCCUCAAUCGAAACCAAAAACGCAAACGCUCGCAACGAGUUGACGACCUUCCUCGCAACCACAUCCCCAAACACAAAUGAGCAACGUUGAUGACCUUCCUCGAGCCGUCGCCGACGAUGACCACCACCCGCCACUUUAAACAGCUGCGUCGAUCUCUACCUCCUCGAAGCAUUCGAGAGAUCCUAUAACACCAUCGAAGUCGUCGACCACGCUAAAGGUAUUUGCCUGACCAUGGAGGCCUCGCUAGGCAAAUACCUUCCAGAGUGCUCCCUCGUGUGUGUAAAGCCCUAAAAUCUUCAUUAUCUUCUUUGCUUCUUCAAGGGUUCGGGUUCUUCGGAAAUACGCAGUCAGAUCGUUAUUUUCUCGCGCUAAAGACACAGAGCCAUCGCCGGCGAUAGCGAAGGAGACCGAUGACAGCUUGAAGCAGAUAGUAAAAGAAGGCCAAUGCUCUUUUAUAAGGGUUAGAAAUGACAUUAUUGAGGAAUUCAGAUUCAUAGUCUUCUGUACGAAUUCAGAUUCAUCGUCUUCUGUACUUAUGUACACUUUUGUUCGGCUUCUGUACUUAUGUACACUUUUGUUCGGACUUAUUUGAAAUCAUGUGAGUAAAGAAUCAAAGAAAGUGAGGGGAAACUUGUAGAGAUUGAGGACCUUUUCCGGGGAUGUACACGAGCUCAGAUUGUAUAUGCUCCAAAUCUGAAAUUUGCUGCACGCAUUGCAUUCGAACAAAUGUUCAGAACUGAGAAGAUUCCCAUUCAUGGUGGGUUUGGAUUUAAUCAUUGUGUACGAUUUUAGUAAUAUUGGACUGUUUAGUAAUGUGAAGAAUUUGAAUAACCAGUGCAAUCAUGUAGUUAAUAUUUUAAUGCAGUGUGUUUUUUUCUUCUAGAGUAUCAAGCCCGAAGGGUUUUUUUUCAA